rfam:Apis mellifera strain DH4 linkage group 1, whole genome shotgun sequence.
CAACCUGCCCUUUUUAGGGCGACAAAGAUUUAAUACAUAGGAAUCU